GGAUUCGAACGGCAGGCGGGAAGUGCUCUAGCAGGGGAGUCUGACCUUGUGAGGGAAUACCUGUGUCCCCCCUUUUUUCCCCUUUUUACCCAAUAAAACCCUGCCUUACUCACCCUUUAAAUCAUCUGCGAGCCUGAAUUUUCAUGGCCGUGGGACGGACAAGAACUUUAUCUUCAGCUGAACUAAGAAAAAGUCCUGCAACAUUUUUGGCGCGCAAUGUGGGGGCACCAGAAGCGGGCACCGUUGAGCUGUUGCAACUGUUCUGCUGAGUUGUACUGCGACAUUAGCUCUUUUGACUAGAUGUGAUGACAGACUGUCUUUGGUCCAUUCUCUUUUAUUGCCUUGGAAGAGAAUAAAUGAGGAGUAGUUCUCACCCAUUGCAGCUGAGGCAUCACACCUGUAAUGGGAUUAACAAGAUGAUAAUAUAUCUUUUGCCAAGACCACAUACUAGCAGAAAGAGACCUCAAGUAAACCUCCAGCAGCCAUCUGGACUUCCAUGAAAACAGAACAAUCAGUGAGAUGCAGAGCUUGGAGGAGACAGUUUCCAUAGACUGAAGCACGUGCUGAAGCAAAGUUCACACUUGCAGGAUUAGAAGAGGUUGACCGAAAGAAGGAAGGACAUGGACAGCUAUGUUGUUGUGGAGUCCUGUUUUAUAGUCAUAACCUUGAGUCAAGUGAGUUUGUCUGGACAGACAGAGCUUGUUGCCUUUACUUAUAGGGAAGGCACCGGACACAGACAGCCUCAAGGACAUUUGUUCUAGCCUUUCAGUAUCCUUUCUCUUAAUUAUCUCACCUCAUCCAUGAAGCUGGUAUGUACGAUUUUUCCUUUCUUUCUCAAUCCUUUAAAAAAUUAAAGCUCUAAAUCUCAUUUCCACUUAGAUUUUAAUGUUGCAUUGUAACUUAAGAUAAAACCUUGCUCUGAUGUUAAAAAUACUAAAGUAAGAAGCAAUAUGGCAUAGUGCUUAUGAGCAGGACUACAUAGUUCUUUCUGAAUACAAAUCUCAGAUAAAACACUAUCUCAGUGAUCAACCAGGUUAAGCAACCUUUUUAGUGCCUCAAUUAUUCCAUUUGUAAAAUUGUAAUAAUGAUAGUACUAACCUAUAAGAUUGUGGUGAGGAUUAAGUCAGAUAAUACAAAAGAAGCAUUUAGAGUAUUUCCUGGCAUUAUCUACCAUUUAUUGAAUUUUUAUGGUUAAGAAGAAUAAGGAAAAGCAGAAGAAAAGGAAAAGAGAAAAAA
ensembl:lncRNA MIR924HG MIR924 host gene